CCCUAACAUUAGGGUUAAUUAGACAUUCUCCAUUUCUGAAUGUCUAAAUAUCUAGAUCUAGAUAUCUGAUCUAGAUAUUUUUUAAACCUACACAAAUAAUUGUAAUUAUUCACUGUGAUUUGAACAUUGAACAAAAUGAUCUUUAGUGUUUAGCUGUACAGUAAUUUCACAUUCUGUCAUGACCCAGCAUAGUAAGGAAGUACAUUACUUUUUAACCAAAGCAGCUUACAGUUAAAACAGAAUACGAAACACAGAAGUAGGAUUAGGAGUUUUGCUCAAGGGUCCAAACGUGGCUCUUGGGCAGUAUUGGGAUUUAAACUCACAACCACCUGGUCACUAGUUUAGAAACCACUGAACUUUCAGAUUUUAUUAGUAUUUCUAAUAAUCACUGAUUUCAACAUACUCAAAUGAGCUCAGGAGAAUCAUAAAGGCUUGUAAAUACUCUAGAAAAUGAUUGCAGUCGUAAUUGCAUUGUCCACUAGAUGGCGCCAUUUGCUAAAACGCUUUGUUCCUGCAGUUAGCUUAUAGGAUCAGUGAACUGUGAUACAGUGAACUGUUUGGGGAAAAGCUAGAAACAGGGAAAUUCACUUAUAUAGUCUUCUUGUACGCGAAGCCAGCCCAGUUUUCUGAAAUAACCCGGAGAACAAAAAUGCCAUGAUGAAAUGUCCAUGUUAUUAAUCAAAAGCAGCCUGAGAGCAAAGAAUGAGAGCAGCUGAACAUCACUGUCUUCACUAUAGUGCUGUCUGUCUCAUCACACACUCCUGU